GUCACGAUGGCCAAGUGGUCUACGGCACCAACCUAAAGCUCCGUCCUCCCUUUGUUGGGGGUUCCGAUCGCCACACAGAGGUGUGGGUUCCAAUCCCACUUCUGACA
rnacentral:tRNA from 1 species